rnacentral:lncRNA from 1 species
CCCUGGGAAGGAGGUCAGGAUGGUGGCUUCUCUCCAUUUAGGGAAAAAAAAAAAUCACAUAUAUAUAAAAGCACCAUGAGAAGUUGACUCCACUGUUCCCACAGCGCAGACCUCCUUGGAUCUUGGUGAUGUACACGCAGCGUGAACUUGGCCGUCUUAGCCACUGAAGGUAACGUGAAGCCCACUAGGACCCAGUGUCCACCCAGAACGCUUCAUUUUAAUAGUUAGCUAUGUUUUAGCUGUAGUUGGACACAUGCCUGGGUUUCAUUUAUUUCUAUGUGGUGCUGAGGAUCGAACCCGGGGCCUCGCACGUGCCGGGCUCUACCGCUGGGCCCCAGCCCAGCCCAGCCCCAUCCAGAACGCUUUGCACCUUGCAGAACGGAAGCCCCCGGAAGCCCGCACCCAGGAAACACUGCCUUCUCCGGCCGGCCCCUGGCGACCCCGUCGGCUUCCUGUCUCCGUGAGCUGGACGGCGGCCCAGGACAGGGACGGUGCCCCGCUCACCUUUCCGCCCAGCCGCUCGCGCGGUUCAGUAUUUCCUUCCCUUCGUGGCUGGGCGGUCCCCUGGAUGGAAGGACCACAUCUUGUCCAUCUGUCCGUCUGUCAGUGAACGUCUGCUGCUCCCACCCUUUGGUUGCUGGGCACAUGCAGCCGUGAGGUUGAUUCCUCAGGGUCCACUCUAGGAGCGAAGCUGCUGGCCACGUGGUCACGCUCCAUUUAGCGUUCUGAGGAGAUGUUGGGCAGCUUUCCGCCGUGGGUGGGGAUCUUAGGUCCCGCCAACAGUGCAGGAGGACUGACCCCUCGUGUCCUCGGCAGUGGGAGGUGACGUUGUGUUCCGGGUGAGUCGGUGCGCCUUUUUAAUGUUCUUACAAUUCUAUUUAUUUUGGGGGGAGGUGUCCAGGAUGACAUGCUGCGUCCGCCCCCAUCUCUAGGUGGCAGCCCUAGCUGAGGACGUGGUGGCAUUGGAGAUGGGGACUGGGAGGCGACUGGGUGCGAUGGUUGCGAGGGUCAUGGCCUGUGGCAAGAGGAAGCCGGAGGGCUCGUCCCCUCCUGCGGGCACACACAGGGACAGCUAGAAGGGACGUCACAGCUGGAGUCUCCCGUCUCCCCCAGGGAGGGUCCUUGCCAAGAGCCACAGUGGCCAGCACUGGAACUUCAGCCUCCAGAGCCGUGACACAUCAAUGCUGUUGCUUAGGCCACCGGCCUCUGGGAUCCCACCCUGAGCUGAGCAGGCGGGUGGUUCAAAGCUCACAAGGCACAAAACACAUCAGUGAAACCUCCCUCCGGCCCACCCACACAGGUCCCUCGGGGAGGGGACAUUUGUACUGAGACCCACCACAAGACAACUGGUCUCACGAGAGGGUGUUCCAAGCAGCAGGAAAAGCACGUGCGAAGGCCCAGCCGUGGGCUAGAGGCUCAGGAGCUGGGAGGCUUCAGGGUGGCCGGGGAGGAAUGGCCACCGAGAGCCUGGGCCUGGCGAUGGGGGGCAGCAGCCCCCCGGGGCCUCCCAGGGGCCUUGGAGGCCGCACGCGGUGGUGAUCGACGCAAGAGCACGGAUCCAGACCGCAGUGUGCAUCCGGCUCCAUCCUCCCUCGGGGCAGGACACCCCUCCCCCUGGCGGGUUUCCAGAGCCCGUGAGGAAAGCCCCACCCCUGACUCGGGUCUCUGUGACACCCCCAGAGCCAUGCCUGGCGCAUGAGGCCGCUCCCGGCCUCAUCAUCCCAGGGCAGAUGCGCCCGGCACUUCACACUCUGGGGGGCAGUGUCCAGUGGGAGAGGAGAGCCGCUGCUCCAGCGUCUGCUUCACCUGGGCCCCCAGCAGACCUGCCCUGUGUCUCGCUGGCCAGACGCUUUGCCACUCUCCAGCUCUUGAACCUCAGAGGCCAGAGAAAUGGGUCAAGAAGGCCAGAGGCCCAGAGGGCCCAGUGUCAGCCAGGCAGCGCCCCAGAGCUGACCUGUGGUCAGGGGGCCCCCUCAGAGGUGUCCAAGGUGCUACUGCUGCAUGGGCCUGCUCUAGGGGGACAGAGCAGCCUGUGACUGGACGGCCUGUGCAGCCCCAGCACCUCCGCAGGAGUCUGAAGGUCCGUGGCACUAAGUCAGCAGGGACCCAGGGCUCGGCUGAGAGUGGACCUGAGCCCAGGGGCUGGGUGACCUGUGCAAGCACCUGCCAGGUAUGGCUUCCCAGGGGUCCACGGCCAGGCAGGGCUAGGGAGGGAGCAGCCUGGUCCUCGUGACCCCCAACACGUGAAUCCUGGGGUUGGGGUCCUGACACCAACGUGACCUCCAAGGCAAGUCCCUCAGGGUCUGGCCUGCGUCUCCACAUAAUGCUCCUCAGAUGUCACCCUCCAGGUCUCCAGCCUCCACCAAGGCCCGAGGCCAUCAGAAGCUGCUUUGAGAGGUGCCCUGGGAGCUCGGGCCUGCCUGGGCAGAGAUGUGCCCAGCCAGCAGGCUGCGCCAGCUCCCGGGAAGACAGCCCGCCCCUCAGCAGCCUGCUCGGGACACCGGUCUCCCUGGCUGGCCGUGGAACCGUCCCAAGACCCCACCCAGCCAUCUCCUUCUCCAGCAAGCCUCCCCAGCCCUGGGCGGUGAGGUCCUGUAGAAUCUCCAGCCUGGGGAACAGAGUGAGGAGUUACAUCUGACUCAAAAGCCACUUCAGACUAGCCAAGCAGAAAAGGAAGUGUAUUAAUUCUUACAGCUGCCAAGUCCAGGGUAUCCUUCAGGCGUGGCUGGAUCCAGACAGGACCAAGGGGCAGCAUCUCUUUGCUUUAGUUCUACCUCAUGGCAGGUCUGGGCCAACAUCCCCCCUGUUAUCAACCGUGGCAGAGCCUGAGGUUCUCUGUACAACAGUUUUAACCAGAGUUUCACAAUUGGGUCUCCCUGGCUGUGGGUGAGCUGGUUCAGGUCACAUGUCUAUCCCCAAAACAUGAAGGACUGAGCUUAGCUCUGCUGGGCUACAUGGCAUGAGGAUGGGAUGAGGGGGCAGUCAUCGCUGGCCACACAGCUGGCCAUGGCAUCCUUGCUGGCUCCUCAGGAGAUGACUGCUUCACGGGCAGGGACGGCGCCCCCUAGUGUUGCCUGCAAAGGCCAGCAAGGGACACAGUAGACACACUUUGGUUUUCUCAGGGCAUUGGCACGUGCUGUUCACCCUGCUAGGAACAGCCCACCCAGCCGGCCCUCCUUCCCACCUCCUAGGACUGCCUUGCUAUUGGGACUGGGAUCUUAGUAAUCCUGUUUAGACACACACUAGACUGUCAUUCUAUCCUCCCUGCCUCUCUCCUCUUCUCUUUCUAUGCUCCGCCCUAGGGAAAUUCUUCAAAUCUCUUCUCCAAUUCACUGAUUCUCUCUUCAGCUGUUUAAUCCAUGGAGUUUAUAGUUUCAACAUUUAAUUUUGAUUUGUAAAGUCUCUGUGGUUCUUAUUCAAAUAUGAUCUUUCUUUAGCAGACUCUUCUUUUUGAUCUUUUUUCUUUCUUUUUCUUUUUUGAACUGGGAAUUGAACCCAAAGUUUCUUCACCACUGAGCCACAUCCCCAGCCCUUUUUAUUUUAUUUAUUUUUUGGGGGUACCAGGGAUUGAACUCAGAGGCACUCUGAUGAGACCAAUAAGCCUCAUCUCCAGUUCUAUUUAUUUUUAUUUUUAUUUUUUUAUUUAGAGACAGGGUCUCACUGAGUUUCUUAAUGCCUCGUUUUUGCUGAGGCUGGCUUUGAACUCACGAUCCUCCUGCCUCAGCCUCCCAAGCCACUGGGAUCACAGGUUGAUCUUCUUUCUAAUUCUGUCUUUUACUUUUCUAUUUCAAAUAUCCAAACAUCUGAAUUCUCAGGGGUCCACACCUGUUCGCCAUGUCUGUUGACUCUCAUGGGCCGUGUUUCUUUGAGUCUGGUCUUUUCCUUUUUAUGGCAAGUUCAUUUUUGGUUGCACUUCACCAGUGAGAAUCCUGAAGGCCUCAGUGGGUCACUGACCUCCAGAAGGGACCCUCCAUUUCCUUCUGCUGGUUUCCAGCUGGUGUGGACCCUCAGGGCCUGCUCUUGAUCUGGGACCGUUUGACGUAGGAUGGGGUCUCACUGUCUAACUUCACGCUGGGAGAGGGAACAGCGUCUCAGGGAAGUCACCCUUUUACUGCUCCCACCCAGAGCUCUGAGGCAGACUCCUGGGGCUCCCCGGGGGUUCCCUAUGGGGACAGGCAGGUUGGGGGACGUUUUUGGUCCUGUCCCUUCCCCUCUGCUGGGCACUUUGUUGCCCAGGGAAAUGCAGGCGGCCGGUGUCCCUGGUUCCGCUGUCUUUGGGUAGUUGAGUGUGUUCUGGAAGGGGGGGCCUCUGAGCUGGGCAAUGGGGUGGUGUCCACGUGUGGACUCUGCCCACGGUCAGGUAGCCGAUGCGUUUCAGGGCGUCUGCUCACCAUGCUGCCAGCAGGGUCAGCUUGUCACUGGCUCGGGCGUGGGGUCCUUGUGCUGACGUGCUCGGCUCGGGCAGGUUUUCCACGAGGACUCAGAGAGGAGGCUCCUUUCUGCGGCCAGCGCUGGGGACAGCUCUCAGGCUGAGGCACGCCUCUGCCAGCUUUGGGCCCUGCAGCAGCACCCCUUGCUGUGAUCCCCCGGCACUUCUGAGGACCCGGGGGAGGCCAGGGACUGGCCUGCUGCAGAGCGGGCAGAAUGGUGGGCACCAGGUGGACGUGCGGGCGCCCUGCAGGUGGUGGCGUGUAGGGGACAGGCCAUCUGUGCUCCUGAGGUCUGCAGCCCUCCCGCCCUCCCCUCCCAUCUCGGGCACACAGCCCCACUCUGUCCACACCCAGCCGGCCCCGGCCAGCCUUGCUUGGACCUGAAUGUCUGUGCCCAUGGCAGCUGCCUCCUCCCCGAAGACGGCCUGACCUGAUCAUCCCAGGAGCGUCCACUGCUCUCUCCUCUGGGCUGACCUCUGCUCAGGGCCACAUGGUGCGGGGAGCUGGUGUGGACCCUCAAGGGCUAUUGUGAGGACAGAUGGACGUGGGCAGUGGGAACACCUACCCUGCCCUGACUGUGCAGUGUCUUUCCUGAGGCUGGAACGCCCAGCUCCGGGCCCAUCCCUUAAGCCCCCGCCCGCCAUUUGGACUGACCCAACUGCCCUGCCCAACGUGGACCUGACCACACUGGAGACCCGUGUGGCGGUGGGAUGUGAGGUGUCCCCCAAAAGCUCACGUGCGGGAUGAUGUGCGAGGGCUCUAAGGGGAAAUGAUAGGUUGAGAGGGCCUUGACCCGUCAGUGAGCUGACCCCCCGAUAACCGAGGGGUCGCUGGAGGCAGGUGUGUGCUGGAGGAGGGUCCCCGAGGAUGUGCCUUGGGGGUGUGCAUUGUAUCUGGAAAGUGGAGUCUCUGCUUCCUGAUCCCCACGUGGGCAGCUUCCCUGGGCCACACCUUCCCUCCGUGAUGUCCGGCCUCACCUGGAGCCUGAGCAGUGGAGCCCGCUGUCCCUGGACUGAGACCUCUGGAACCGGGAGCCCCCAGAACUCUCCCUCCUCUACACUGUGCUGGUCACAGCGACUCAACACCCGGAGAGUUCAGCAAGUGUCCCCGAGACAGAGGUUGGCCGGGACCCCCGAGGACCUCCUGGGCUGGACGGGGCUGCUGGGCUACAUCCUGCCCCAUCCUGCCAGGUACUCAGCCUGGGAUCCUGUCCCCACCACUGCUCCUGGUCACUGCCCUGGGGAUAUCCCAGGGUCACUGCUGGGCUGCUUCUCAGGCUCUAGGUGGGCGCCCUGGAUUCCAUGGGGAUCCUGACCUGGGCCCAGUACGUGAGUGGAACUGUCCCAGGGACACCCCCCUUCUCUCACUGGAGGCAGAGUUCCAGGCCCUCUGGUCUCAGCCCUACUGCCCCUUGAGCCCAGCUGCCCAGCUGCCCUGGUGCCCGGCCUGGUUCCAUGCGGCUCCCACAGGUCCUGAUGGGCCAGCCUCGCUGGUCCCCCAGCCUUGGCCUCGCUGCCCAGAGGAGAGCCACACAGCCCUCUGGGCUCAGCCAGAGUCCGCACAGGCUGUGGUGGCCGCAGGUCCCGUGGGGGAGGUGGUCAGCUCUGCCCUGCUCAUCCUUGCUCUGCGCACAGAUGGACACACCAUAGGCUCUAGUGGGGUGGGAUGGGGGCUUGAAGCCGCUGUGCUCACCAGAAGAUUCCCCACCUUGACAGGAAACCAUUCGAGACUCCUGACCAGAGGGACACAAAGGGUGGCCAAGAUGGAGCCUGGCACAGGUAGGAAUGACGAGGGGUGGGCUUGGGCAGCAGAAGCCACCAGUGGGGGCAUUUGCAAAGUUCUCUGGGGUGAGUGGCCAGGGAAAGAGGCUUGAGUCAGUUCCUGCUGUGUGACCCUCAGCAAGCCACUCAGCCUCUCUGAGCUCUGCACCUGGUGGUAUCGCCAUGAUAAGAGGCUUCCAUCCAGGUCAGUGCCCUCCUCGUCCACACAGGUGGGAACAGAGACAGUCUCCUGUGCUCCUCAGGGACACAGCUGCAGUGGCAGAGCUGGAACUCAGAGACAGGAAGCUUCUGCCGAGGGCAGCUGCCCACGGCGGCUCCUCACUGCCCAGCCCCCCUGGGGCCAGGGAGCAAGACCAAGGUGGGGGUCGGAUGCCUGUGAGACAGCGGGUCUUCAGGACCACGGUCCCCAGUAGGACCCCCACGGGAUCUGCUGGGUGAGCCUCUGAGAGGUCCACCUGACCCGCCCACUCUGAGCCCCACAUCUUCUGGGGAGAACACCUCCUGGGCCCGUGCUCUGGGCACCACCCAUGGUGGGCGUUUGUGUCCAUGGUCAGUGGGUCCCGGCCCACACUGGCUCUCCUCCCGUCCCCCUGCCCUGACUGCACAGCUGACCGGCCAGAGCCCUCUAGAGCCUGGUACCCAGCUGCGACAGCAGAGGCGGGCUCCGCCUGCAGCCCCUGCCUCCCGGCGGCAUCCCCAGGCCCUGUUCGCCCACUUCCCUCAGCAAUACCCCUCCCCACCCGCUCCCCCCUGCCUGCCUACAAGCCCAGUCACCCUGGAAAGCUUUAUCAGCUGUCCCCCUCCUCAUCAGGGAGACCUCACUUUCCCUCCAGGCCACCCUAGGCCUUGGUUUUACCCCACCAGACUUUCACUAGUGUCUGUGUGUGUCUGCCUCCCCCCAGAAACAGAACUCAGAAACAGGAGGCCAGCACGGGGCGUGGCCUCGACGGAACAAGGCAGCCUCUCCCCACUGGCCUCCAGGGAGCGUCACUCAGGAACCCUGGUGGAGGUCUGGGGGUCCCAGUGGAACCCUGCAGAAAGCCAGUCUUGGCAACGUUCCCAGCCUCCACUCUGGAACAAAGGCCCCGUUUCCUCCAAAAAAGAUGGGCCAGGGUGACGAGGAUGAACCCGGGCACCUGCCUCCCAUGACAGCACAGCCGCCUGCUCUGGCCGAGGCGUGUGCACUGGCUUCUCAGCAGAACCAGCUCCCACACAGUGGGGGACCCAGCGCCCCCAGAAGGGGAAAAGACAAGGGUCCCCGGGAACCUCCAGGAAGGAACGUGGCCCUGCCAAGACUGACUUCAGCCUCUGCAGCAAGCCCACGAGGCUGACCGCCCACCUAGGACCACGGUGGCCAUCUCUAAGGGGUCAGCUACUGAGCUCGUGGGGUUUGUUACAUCGGAGCAGCAACAAGUGCACCGCGCCUCCCGGGGGACACGGGCUCCCAGAGAGGAGAAGGACCUGCCCAGCCUACCGCCAGGCCUCCUGACCACUGCCCAGGGUCCCCGCCCGGCCCACCCUCCUUGGAGGACAGGACAGAGGCACCAGCAGACAGGCAGUGCCGGCCCUGAGAGGCCAGAAGCUGCGGAGCCCGUCGCUGUGCGGCCUCAGGGAGCUGGGGGCCGGGGCGGGGGGCUGUGUGCGGAAGCCAGGGAGCAACUGUGGCAGAAGUUGGAACUUGUAGGGAGCCAGUGCCCUGCCAAGAGCCCCCUGGGGUCCCCACGUCCCUGCAAAGCAGGUGGUGGCAGGCGCCCACGUCAGCCUGGGUCCAGAGAGCACCCAACACACGCCCUCGUCCCCGGAGGCCAGCCAGGGCUCUGCCUAUUUAUAGAACCCUCAUCCAUCUUCCUGCCUUUGAUCAGGGAGGGGCUGGGCUCCUUGGAGGCUGCAGAUCUUGGCAGGCCCUGCCUCUGCGGCAGGGCGGCCGGGCUCCCCUCAGCUGGGGUGGGGCCAGCGCUGGGGCUGGGGAGCACCUGCACAGCGGCAGAUGGCCUCAGGCCACCUCAGGCUGACCGGCAAGGGAGGCUCCUGGUGGAAGGGCUUCCGUGGGCCCUUCUCCCCCGCAACUCUGGCAACCAGCCAUCUUGGCGUCUGUGGCUCUGAGGCUGCUCUCCUGGGAAGCCACUCAGGUCUCGGGUCCUGGGUGCCCUCCCUCCCCCCACCCGCCAUCGAAAGUCCAAGGUUCCCACGCUCCCUGGAGUUUGGGCUCCCUCUUUCAGAAGAGCCCCGCGCCCAGGCCCUGGGGUGGGCACAGAGGCGGCCAGCGCCUUCACUCCCAGGGUCAGGCCCCUCCUGCUGGACGGUGUUCCAUGCCCACCCCCACUCCCUCCGGGUGACCAGAGCCAGGAGGCCUGUGUUCUGUCCCCGACACGUCCCCAACACGUCCUCGAAGGGCAGCUGGACCCUGGGGGAGUGUGAGUGUCAGGGGCUGGGACUCCUGGGCUUCCUCAGCCGCUGCUCCCUGGACUCGAACCCUUCAAGGCAUUCGCCUCCCUGCUCCAUGCCUUGUCCCCUGGGGCUGGACACCAGGGCUCUGGGAGGGGACUCUUGGAAAGGGGGAGGCGGAGCAUCAGGACUUGCUGGCCGACUGUGACCGGGCACUGCGCGGUUUUCUUUCUUCUUUCUAAUUAUUUGGAGAGACCCUAGAUUUGGGCAAGGUCUUCGCCUGGCCUGAGUCUCGGGGUCUCCCUUGACCGCUGUAGAGCCCCUGGGAUAAUCCUCCUUGCCCUCGAGCACCUGUCCCUGCCCCCACACCCAGGAAGGGUCUGAACAUGGAGUAAGAAGUCAGCCAGGAGCGGGCACAGCCCUCCAGAAGAGGGGCGCACAGAUGGGACUGCUGGGGGGACUCUGGGGCCUUUCCAUCUCCGCCUCCCCCACGGCCCCCCCUGGGCUGCCGCACACAGUAGGUCUCCUAACUGGGUCCCCAGGUGGGUCCUGAUCUGAAUCCCUCAGUUCCAAGGGGAGGCUUCCUGCGGAAGCACUGGAGGCGGAGGAAGGGACGGGACUCGCCAUGCCGCCAGGCCUCCUGCGAGGCUGCCAGACAGGGUGACCCUUGCUGUCUGUUUCUUUCUCCCCCUCAGGUCCCGCGGGCUUGCUCCCAAACUCCAGCCCCAAGCAGCCAUUCCUCCACCCUUCAUGGCUCGUCAGCCCCAGGAGGCGGCACGAGCAUGGCUCCCUGGCCUCUCCGCCACUUCCAGGAGCCAGGGUGCUGGUCUAGAGGCGCGGGCCUCAGUGCUACCCUCUGUCCUCAGCCCUCCCAUCACGUCCCUGGGGGCCUCACACAGCACUCUGCACGCACCCCGGUUCCAAACUCCUCCUGCCCCAGGGCCUUUGCAAGGACUGUGCUUCCUCAGCUGUCUCCCUCAGGCUCUCCCCUCCAUGGUCUGGCCAGAGGCCUUCUCAGAGCAUCACCCCACAGUCCUGCCACUCUCUCUGUGCUCUUCUGCAUGGUACCAUUGAACCCAGGGACACUUUACCACCGAGCCUCUUCUGCAGCCCUUUUUAUCUUUAUCUAGUUUGCCAAGUUGCUGAGGCUGGCCUGGAUCCUCCUGCCUCAGCCUCUCGAAGCCCUGGUGUUCCAGGGGAGCACCCCAUGCCAGGCUCUCCCUGGGCUCUUCCUUGUCUUCUCUGUGGUGUGUCCCCUCACCCGUGUCUGUUCUCCCCCAGGACAGUAACCCUGGAGGACUCGGUGCUGCCCGUGUGCACCUUGGUCCUGAAUGAGUAUCCAGUGAAUGAGGGAAGGCCAGUGUGUGGUGGUGGAAGCCAGGCAGAGGGGCUGUGGCCAGUUUGCCACCAGGGCUCCCUGAGCUGCCCAGCGAAGGCAGGAUACGGCCCUGGCCAGGGGGGAGCCUGCUGCUGGGGUGUGGCUUGGCACGUGGCUGUGGGGCGGCCGUCCUCCUGUCCAGAAGACUCGGGAUGUGCCUGGAGCAGCCUGAAAGCAAGGCCCCUGGCCUCUCUGCCUCACUUGGUCAUCCCGACUCAGGACAACCUUAGCGUCCCUCCCCGUGCCCAGUGAGGUCCGAGGAAAGUCCCCAGGGAAAGUCCCCUGCAAGCCAUUGAUGACAGCACGGUUGUAGCUACAAUGCUAAAAU